GUGGCCUACCUCGGCUAAGCUGUAGCUAGCUUGGCCCCACGUAUCUCCGGUGUUCCCGAAGUUCUCCAUCUUCAUGUCGCGGACCUUGCACACGGUGAAGCUCAUGUCCAGCUCGGUCUUCCCGGGAAUUCGCGUGAGGAAGGGCUGAAAUGAACGCAGCCGGUGGAGGUAUUGACCCGAGGAGCCUCUCUACUGCCGACUGUUACAAAGCUGAGCCUGAAUGAAUAACGACAUAUUGAUCAGAACUGAAGCCUCUGCAGGACAGGAAGUCGUCACGUCUCACAUGAACGCGGACAGAAACGGGACGUUAAUGAGGCUCAGAGCCGUCCGCUGCAGAGCCAGGUCUGCCGGCGUUCAGCUCACUUCUGCAUCUCCAGCAGCAUCUCAGGCUCAAGUGGCAGCUGCAGCAUUAGAGAAGCACUUGAUGCUGCAGCAGCUGCUGCUGGGAGAACCACUCCAACACCUGCCGCGGUUAGCAGGUGGAGGGAGGGUCGGUGACGGUACGCCUCCAUCACUUCCACCAGUUUGAUCCUUCAAAUCAGCAGCAGAAAUUCCUGCUUCCCGUUUGGUCCUUCAGAUUGAAACGUCUCUUCUUUCUACAAACAGCUUUACUUGGAAAUCAUCUGGUACCUCCAACAGCAAACACUGACAUACGACUGCGCAUUAGUGCCAUUGGUAUAAAUAUAUGUAUGAAAACAGUAAAUUUCUGCAACAAAAAAAAAAUCUCAGAAUUUUUAUAGAAAAAACAUCCAAAUUUUCUGAAUUUCAAAUGCUAAAAAAAGUUGAAAAUGUUCUACUUAUCCAGACUGAAUCCUUCAGUGCAUCUCUGUUGCUCUAUCUGUAAACGUGUCGCCUUUAAAACGGCUCAUGCUUUAAGCUGAAUUGUUGUGCAAGAAGAAAAAGAAAAGAAACGAUGAUAAUGAGGUGACAGGAAGCGAUUCGAAAGCAGAAGGUACUUUUCAGAAGACGUCGCUUUUAUUUUGGUAGUCCACUUCCGGUUAUCGGCCAGUAAAUUCGCGUUAGGCACGUAUGAGAAUAUUUUGCUUCGAACUAAAUAUUUAACAUGUUAGCUAAAUAUUUAAAAUAAUUGUUGACUGUAGCUUCACAAACGCCUCCCAUUUAUCAGCUACCAAGUUUGUGUUUGUUGAGGAAGAAAAGCACCAAUAAAACCAGAUUAGAAACAGAUGGACAUUUCACAGACGUGUUUUAUUAACUUUGAUAGGUUCAAAAACAAACCAAGGAUCAAAUUCAAGCAAACACCCAACAAUACUAAAUGACAUGUUUAGCAUUAGGAGCGUGACGGCGGGUUAACCAACUUCAGCUCCUCUCCAUCUGCAGUAGUUUGCCUGUUUCUCCCCUCAGAGCUGCUGGAGCAGGUUGGGCCACGCGGCUGCAGAGUCCUGUCAUGUUUAGCAGGGAGGGACGAGGCGAUGGCGGCGCGGUGGCGCGGCGCGGCCGGUGUCGUGGCCCUGCUCUGUGAUUAAGCUGACAGUUGGGAUGUCGUGGAGCGCCGCGGCACUGCUAUCGAAGCUGGGAACUGCCUGCUAUAAUUAACGGCUUCUGCUGCACCAGGAGCAACGUGCCAGAGCAGCUGAGAGGGAAUCAGACUCACAGCCAGGGGCCGGAUGGCCCCGGCUUUAGAUUCAAUUUACUACCAGACACUUAAAUUUUAGCAAGAACAUAUUGUAAAAAAUAAAUAUCUCACCUAGAAAGAUUCACUAUUUGCAGCAUCAAGACCAGGAGAAACAGAUUGUUUUGUUUCAGGACAUUAAAACAUGAAUAUUUGCUAAUUUGAAGAUAUUAUACAAUCAUGGCACUAAAUUCAAAGGCAUAAGAAC